AUUGAACGCUGGCGGCAGGCCUAACACAUGCAAGUCGAACGGUAACAGGAAGAAGCUUGCUUCUUUGCUGACGAGUGGCGGACGGGUGAGUAAUGUCUGGGAAACUGCCUGAUGGAGGGGGAUAACUACUGGAAACGGUAGCUAAUACCGCAUAACGUCGCAAGACCAAAAAGGGGGACCUUCGGGCCUCUUGCCAUCGGAUGUGCCCAGAUGGGAUUAGCUAGUAGGUGGGGUAACGGCUCACCUAGGCGACGAUCCCUAGCUGGUCUGAGAGGAUGACCAGCCACACUGGAACUGAGACACGGUCCAGACUCCUACGGGAGGCAGCAGUGGGGAAUAUUGCACAAUGGGCGCAAGCCUGAUGCAGCCAUGCCGCGUGUAUGAAGAAGGCCUUCGGGUUGUAAAGUACUUUCAGCGGGGAGGAAGGGAGUAAAGUUAAUGCCUUUGCUCAUUGACGUUACCCGCAGAAGAAGCACCGGCUAACUCCGUGC
rnacentral:rRNA from 1 species